rnacentral:rRNA from 1 species
AGAGUUUGAUCCUGGCUCAGGAUGAACGCUGGCGGCGUGCUUAACACAUGCAAGUCGAACGAAGCACUUUAUUUGAUUUCCUUCGGGACUGAUUGUUUUGUGACUGAGUGGCGGACGGGUGAGUAACGCGUGGGUAACCUGCCUUGUACAGGGGGAUAACAGUUGGAAACGGCUGCUAAUACCGCAUAAGCGCACAGCAUCGCAUGAUGCAGUGUGAAAAACUCCGGUGGUAUAAGAUGGACCCGCGUUGGAUUAGCUAGUUGGUGAGGUAACGGCCCACCAAGGCGACGAUCCAUAGCCGACCUGAGAGGGUGACCGGCCACAUUGGGACUGAGACACGGCCCAAACUCCUACGGGAGGCAGCAGUGGGGAAUAUUGCACAAUGGGCGAAAGCCUGAUGCAGCGACGCCGCGUGAGCGAAGAAGUAUUUCGGUAUGUAAAGCUCUAUCAGCAGGGAAGAUAAUGACGGUACCUGACUAAGAAGCACCGGCUAAAUACGUGCCAGCAGCCGCGGUAAUACGUAUGGUGCAAGCGUUAUCCGGAUUUACUGGGUGUAAAGGGAGCGCAGGCGGUGCGGCAAGUCUGAUGUGAAAGCCCGGGGCUCAACCCCGGUACUGCAUUGGAAACUGUCGUACUAGAGUGUCGGAGGGGUAAGCGGAAUUCCUAGUGUAGCGGUGAAAUGCGUAGAUAUUAGGAGGAACACCAGUGGCGAAGGCGGCUCUCUGGUCUGUAACUGACGCUGAGGCUCGAAAGCGUGGGGAGCGAACAGGAUUAGAUACCCUGGUAGUCCACGCCGUAAACGAUGAGUGCUAGGUGUUGGAUCCUUUCCGGGAUUCAGUGCCGCAGCUAACGCAUUAAGCACUCCGCCUGGGGAGUACGACCGCAAGGUUGAAACUCAAAGGAAUUGACGGGGGCCCGCACAAGCGGUGGAGCAUGUGGUUUAAUUCGAAGCAACGCGAAGAACCUUACCAGGUCUUGACAUCCCGAUGCUAUUUCUAGAGAUAGAAAGUUACUUCGGUACAUCGGUGACAGGUGGUGCAUGGUUGUCGUCAGCUCGUGUCGUGAGAUGUUGGGUUAAGUCCCGCAACGAGCGCAACCCCUAUUGUUAGUUGCCAUCAUUCAGUUGGGCACUCUAGCGAGACUGCCGGUAAUAAACCGGAGGAAGGUGGGGAUGACGUCAAAUCAUCAUGCCCCUUAUGACCUGGGCUACACACGUGCUACAAUGGUUGGUACAACGAGUUGCGAGUCGGUGACGGCGAGCUAAUCUCUUAAAGCCAAUCUCAGUUCGGAUUGUAGGCUGCAACUCGCCUACAUGAAGUCGGAAUCGCUAGUAAUCGCGGAUCAGCACGCCGCGGUGAAUACGUUCCCGGGCCUUGUACACACCGCCCGUCACACCACGGGAGUUUGUAACACCCGAAGUCGGUGAGGUAACCUUUUGGAGCCAGCCGCCUAAGGUGGGACAGAUGAUUGGGGUGAAGUCGUAACAAGGUA